rnacentral:lncRNA from 1 species
GAAUAUUAACGACACAUGCGAUUAAGUCAGUAACUAGGAAUCCACUAGGAAGCUCUUCUAUCUCACUGAAACAGCCUAAGGACUAAGGAGGACACUCGAUUUCACAAUUAUGUCCGCCUAAUUUACAUCAUAUUCAUAUUUGGGUUAUCACAUGGGAUUAUUGAUCAAUGCAUGUGAAUAUAUUUGUUUUACUCUACACCAAAAAAAAAAAAGCAGAAUACGUCAGUACACAAGACAUAUAUAUAUCUCGAAAUAACGUAUGGUUUUUGCCUUGCC